AGCCCGCAAUUGCUUCUCGCCUCUGCAGAGCAGCUGGGCAAUUGUAAAGAACCAGCAGCCAGUUCUGUUACUCAUUAAACAGCCCCUACUACAGAGGAAAUCUUCUUACCCACGUGGUCCUAACCUGGGGCGGAGGAAACCGGGCUAGAAGCGGCUCUAGGACUAACCCAAGGUCACGCCGCCAGGCAGGAUCCCCGGUCUGUCUGUCUGGCGGUGGCCCCGCGGCUGGGGCCAGCGGAGAGAAAUGACAGCGUGGAACCAGCCCUGGCCCGGUGGUCGGGAAUGUGGAGCUGGCACUGUCACUGUGUGUACCCUGGAUCUCUCUGGACGGCCUCGGCUUCCCCCCUGGGGAGUUUCUCUGGGACCUUCCUGAUCCUGGGAGUUCCCGCUUGCUGGGGCAAAGCCAGGAGCUCGCCCGAGGAGGGGAAGUGACUCAUUCACUUCGAGUCGCAGCUAAGUGGCCGAACUGCCUCAAACCGGCGCUGCACUCUGACCCCCAGGGGCCGGACCUGCCUGCCCCCGGCCGGUGCCCACUCUCCGUCUCAGGCGUCUUUCCUGGUCCUCUCCCUGCUUCCCGAACGCGCACUCUGGUGAGAGCACAGAGCCUGGGAAAGAAGACGACCUAGAGGCCCGGGCAGCCCAGCACCUCUGUUACUUGCUUCCUAAAGGGAACUCCAGUUCCUGAGAAAACAUGGGGUUGGGCCGGGAGUGGUGGCUCACGCCUGUAAUCCCAGCACUUUGGAAGGCCGAGGCGGAUGGAUCACCUGAGGUCAGGAGUUCGAGACCAGCCUGCCCAACAUGGUGAAACCCCGUCACUACUAAAAAUACAAAAAAUUAGCUGGACGUGGUGUCGCGUGCCUGUAAUCCCAGGUACUAGGCAGGCCGAGGCAGGAGAAUUGCUUGAACCCAGCGAAGGAUGCAGUGAGCCGAGAUCGCGCCAUUGCACUCCAUACUGGGUGACAAGAGUGAAACACACAAACAAAUCAAGGAAGGAAUUAAGGGUUUUAUUGAAAAUGAAAGUACGGCCAGGCGCAGUGGCUCACACCUGUAAUCCCAGCACUUUGGGAGGCCGAGGCGGGUGGAUUACAAAGUCAGGAGUUCAAGACCAGCCUAACCAAGAUGGUGAAACCCCGUCUCUACUAAAAGUAAAAAAAAAAAAAAAACAAAAAAAAAAACCUAGCCGGUCACAGUGGCAGGUGCCUGUAAUUCCAGCUACUUGGGAGGCUGAGGCAGGAGAACCACUUGAACCUGGGUGGCAGAGGUUGCAGUGAGCUGAGAUCAUGCCACUGCAUUCCAGCCUUGGUGACACAGUGAGACGCCAUCUCAAAAAAAAAAGGUAAAUGAAAGUACACUCCACAGUGUGGGAGCGGGCCUGAGCGUAGGGGCUCAAAGGCCCCAUUCCAGAAUUUUGGGGAGUUUCAAUGUCCUCCGCUUGGGGCACACACUAUGUAAAUGAAAGGGAUGAUGCAAAGUUACAAAGUCAUUUACUUGGCCUACGCAGAGGCUAUUUCCUGUCAUAGCUAAAGUGUGAAUCGGCCUUAUGUUCCCUGCCUCCAGACCCUAUUUUGCUGCCUCAGACUGAAGACUGAAACUGGCCUGGUUAGGAAGUUGCUAUUCUCUCUCUCUGAAGGUAGAUUAACAACUUAGUUUUAGUUUUGUUACCGGAAAAGGGUCCCAAUCCAGACCCCAAGAGAAUGUUCUUGGAUCUUGUGCAAGAAAGAAUUCGGGGCCAGGGUGAGUCCACAGAGUAAAGUGAAAGAAGCAAGCUUAUUGAGAAAGUAAAGGAAUAAAAGAAUGGCAAUUCCAUGGGCAGGGCAGCCUCUAGGGCUGCUGGUUGGCUAUUUUUAUGGUUAUUUCUUGAUCAUAUACUAAAUAAGGGUGGAUUAUUCAUGAGUUUUCUAGGAAUUCUUCCUUUUAGAACAUAUAGGGUAACUUCUAAAUGUUGCCAUGGUAUUUAUAAACUGUCAUGGUGCUGGUAGGAGUGUCGUUUAGCAUGAGAAUGCAUUGUAAUUAGCGAAUAAUGAGCAAUGAGGAAGACCAGAGGUAGUUUUCCUCACCUUGCUGGUUUUUGGCAGGUUUUGGCCAGUUUUGGCUGGCUUCUUUACUGCAUCCUGUUUCAUCAGCAAGGUCUUUGUAACCUGUAUCUUGUGAUACCACCUGCCAACCUUCUAUUUCAUCCUGUGACUAAGGAUGCCUAACCUCCUGGGAAUGCACUCCAGCAGAUCUCAGCCUCAUUUUACCCAGCUCCUAUUCAAGAUGAAGAGUCUCUGAGUCGACUCCUGCUGACAUAUUUCCUGACUCUACAACCCUUAGGAUUAAGGGUUCCCUUGUAAAAGGGAAGGGGGAAUAACCAAAUAACUCACCCCUUUCUUGGAAAACUCAGGAAUAAUCCACCCCUUGCUUAGCACAUAUUCAAGAGUAAUCAUAAAAAAUACCCACCAGCAGCCCUUGGGGAUGCUCUGCCUAUGGAGUAGCCACUCUUUUAUUCCCUUCCUUUCUUAAUAAACUUCCUUUUACUGUUCUCUGUGGACUCACCCCAAAUUCUUUCUUGUAGGAGAUCCAAGAACUUUCUCUAGGGCUCAGGAUCAGGACGCCUUUCCAGUAAGUUUGGUGACCUGAAACGUUAGCAUGGGUGACUUUAUUUUUAUUUUUAGUCUUGUCUUUUGGGGCCUAGUGCAAGAGCUUAGUCUAAAACAAUGGCCUCCUAUAAUUUGUGUUUAACAUUUGUCAGGUUAAAACCUUGUCAGUGUGACAAACUGGAAACAAAAUUGUGUCGGGCCACUACUAAACCACACCCAAAAUACCUGUGUCAUCAAUGUUUGCAAGCAGAGAGCAAAUGCAGCCCACCAAUGGCCACCUAGAGCAGCAGCUGCUAGAGGCAGGAAAGUCUGGAAGAGACCCAGGGCUUGCAGGCUCAGCCAGGAUCCCCCUGCUCCUCAACAAGGUCUUUGGGCUCUUUCAGAGAUGCAGUUGGCCCUGAGCUCUGAGAGGUGGGGAGGGAAGGGGCUGAGAGGCUGAAGGCCAGGCCACACCAGAUAGUGACACACCACUGCCCUUCAGGUUUCCCAAAUCUAAGUAACUUCAAACUCUUUGAAAUUCUCCCAAAGCUAAUGUGUCUACCUAAAAGAAAGAUGAGACAAAAUUAACAUAGAGAGUUUAUUUGUGCCCAGGUUGAGGACUGUAGCCCAGGACACACUUCUAAGUUGCCAUGGGGAGUGCUCCAAGAACAAAAAGGAGGCUCAAGUUUUUAAAGAAAAAAGAACAACUCAGGAGAUGGGGCGAUUGCAGAGUUGUCAGGAAUCCUCAUUGGUUUACAGAAAUAACAUUGGUUAGUGAUUGCCCACACAGUGUUGAACUAUAGGGUGGAUGGCAUCUUAUGGCUAAUUGGCCUCAGUUAUUCUACAGCCACAUAGCAAGUGGCUUCAAGAGGUAACCACUUAGCUGAAGGGGAAGUGAGCCAUGACUGCUGUUCUGUUCUAAAUGUUCUCUGGGCCUGAUAAUUUAAAGGCUCACCUUCCUCAGGAAAAGAAAUGUGUUUGUUGUUUGUUUGUUUGUUUUCUUUCUCAGAUAAUAUUUUAGAGAUAGUAGCUGAGGCUUCUUCUCUGUUUGUCCUCACUUCCCAAUUCCUCAUGCAAUUGCUCUUUUCUUUCCAAUCCAGCAGCCAUACAGAUUUCUAGAACACCCCUCAGAGAGGGCAGAAAUUGAGCCGCAGUGUUUUCUAAACAGCUGCCUGGUCCAUUCGUGGGUCAUGAAACCCAUGUGGUGGGUCACAGCUAGCAUUUUCAUUGUCAGUGAGACAGAAUGGAGUGAAAAAGCCUCUGCCUGCUUUCCACACCAGAGCACGUACUUUUAUCACACGAACUAUGACUCAGACACCACAAACCCAGACCAGGCCUCCAGGUCAGAAGUUGACUCCCCUGAGGCCUGUGGUGAGACUACAGCAUGACUCAGACCCCUGAGAUUUCAAAUUCUUGCCAAAAUACAAAAAGUGAGAUUCUUCCCGCCAACUCUCACUCAUCAUAUAGAGCUACUCAGUCCCCUGACCCACCCCCAGCUCAGAUAGGCUCACAGUGGCAGGCCCACUCCCCUGGCAGCUGAGUCCAGUCUGAUGAGCCAUCACUUUCCCAGGUUGCUGGUCCUAGUAGUCAACAAAGAGAGUCAAACUCUGUAAAAUAUUUGAAGAGAUUUAUCCUAAGCCAAAUGUGAAUGACCAUGGCCCGUGACACAGCAAACGGCCCUCAGGAGGUUCUGAGGACACGUGCCCAAGGCGGUCAGGGUGCAGCUUGGUUUUAUAUGUUUUAGGAAUGCAUGAGACAGCAAUCAAAUACAUUUAAGAAAUACAUUGGUUUGGUCCAGAAAGGCAGGACAACUCAAAGCGGGGUAGGGGGCAGGGUUCAAGGCUAUAGGUAAAUUUAGACAUUUUCUGGUUUACAAUUGGUUGAGUUUGUCUAAAGACCUGGAUUGAUAGAAAGGAAAUGUCCAGGUUAAGAUAAAAGAUUGUGGAGACCCAGGGUAUUUGAAGUCUUAUAGUGGCUGCCCUUAGAGACAAUAGAUGACAAAUGUUUCCUAUUCAGAUCUUUAAUAAAAGGUGCUAGACACUUAGUUAAUCUCUUUUUUUUUUUUUUUUUUUUGAGAUGGAGUCUCACACUCUCACCCAGGCUGGAGUGCAGUGGCGCGAUCUCGGCUCACUGAAAGCUCCGCCUCCCAGGUUCAUGCCAUUCUCCUGCCUCAGCCUCCCGAGUAGCUGGGACUACAGGCGCCCGCCACCACACCCAGCUAAUUUUUGUAUUUUCAGUAGGGACAGGGUUUCACCAUGUUAGCCAGGAUGGUCUCGAUCUCCUGACCUUGUGAUCCACCUGCCUCGGCCUCCCAAAGUGCUGGGAUUGCAGGCGUGAGCCACCGUGCCCGGCCAGUUAAUCUCUUUAAAAUUGGGAGAGCCUGGAAGAAAAAGCUCUAGCUAUGUUAAUAGAGAUUUUUUACAGAUGCAAAUUUCCCCCACAAAGGACAGCUUUGCAGGGCCAUUUCAAGAUAUGGCAAAGAAACAUGUUUUGGGAUAAAAUAUUUUUAUUUUCUUCCCUGUCUCGUAAUGUUAUGCCAGAGUCAGGUUGGAAAGUAAGUCACGAUAUAUAGGGUUAAAUAAAACCCAUCUCAUGAGAAUUCAUUGUUUAUAGGGCAUGACUCCCCAGACCCCUUAGAUAAGAAUUGGCAAGAUAAAAAAAAACGUCAGAGCUUAGUCCUCACAGUCAAUGGCUAGCCUCCAAGGAAGUGGAGGAUUCCCACAGGAUUCCAGCUGCCCAGAGGCUUCACAGGCAUAUCCAUGUUUACAGAAAAGAUACAGGCCAUGAGAUAUUUAUACAAAACACUUAGGAGUCACAGCCAGCUACCCAACGGAUGCCAAUGGCUGACUGGUUCUUGCCCUCUCAGUCUUCACCUUUAGGAGAGGUGGUGCUGGCAGGAUGUGGUAUUUCUCAUUCAGGGCCUCUGGAACCAUCUAAUCUAGGAAACACCCUUGUCUCAUGCCUUGCUGCCACACAGCUCCAUUUGCUCUCCAGUUUUCCAAGAAGCCUUCUACCUGACUGGUUUUGCUCUAAACCACUAUCUCAGACUGAAAUUCUUCACAAAUUCCACCCAGGAAUAAUAAGGGUUCAUUUCUGAACUGGACUCAGCAUGCCAUAUGACCCAUGGAGAUAUUUUCCUCAUGAGAUUUGACACAGGGGUCAUUGGCCAUGCCGCACCCUAGCUGAUGACUGGGCAAGUUACCAAAAACCAUCUGAGCCAGCCUCCUCGUCUACGCAGGGGAAUAAUAUGGUUCUGCAGGAUGGUUGAGGUCAGGGAAAAAUGUAUUCAAAUUAGCAAAUUCUUGCCAAAAUACAAAAAGCGAGAUUCUUCCCACCAACUCUCACUCAUCAUAUAGAACUACUCAGUGCCCCAUGUAUACAAAUGUAACAAGCCUGCAUGUUGUGCACAUGUACCCUAAAACUUAAAGUAUCAUAGUAAUAAAAUUUAAAAAAAAAGAAGGCUUUUCUGGUUCAUUGUUCUGUUUGUUAUUCUGCUGCUUAUGUUUAGAAAACACGCAGAGAGCUAGGAUGAGGCAUUCUUGGAGCCACCUCGUUAGAAAAAUGAAGUCUGCUGCCUUGCUUUCACAAUGGCUGGAGCCUCAGAAGUCACUCCGAGAUGCAGCAAAGUGCAGGGGAUCAAACCAUUGAUUGCUGAAUUUGAGUCUUACUUUCGUCAUUUAUUAUUAGCUGUGUGACAGCUGGUAAAUUAACUUAAUCUCUCUGUCUCUGUGUUUUCAUUUGUAAAUGGUAUUAAUAUUAGUGCCUCUCCCCCAGGGUUCUUAAGAAGAUUAAAACAGUUGAUAUUUGUAAAGUACUUAGAAUAUUGCCUGUACAGCUAAUUAUUUAAUAACAUUUUAAUGUGAUGUGACCUCAUUAGAUCUGAUGUCUACAAACAGUACUUUGAGUUUGAGAAUUGUUAUCAUUUUAAGUGUUUCUUGCCUUUGUUUUCAGUAUAUCUUGAAAUUAUUAAACUUCGACUGGUGAAAAAAAAAAAAAAAACUACUCAGUGCCCUGAGAUACCUUCUAUAUCCCUGCUUUUUUAAAAACUUCAGGUUGGUUAAAUCUUACAUCUAUGUUGUCAUAGAUCAGCAGUCCUCAAUUUUUUGGCAGAUAUUUUUUCUACAGACGUGGGGGUAUGGGGGCGAUGGUUUCAG
rnacentral:lncRNA from 1 species